AUCUCUUUGACCACCCUACCAUCAGGAAGGAGGUUACAAGGUUAGGGGGAGAAAGAAAAUUACAAAGAGCGGAAAAUAUUCUGGCUUUCAACGUUCAAUGAGGAAAUCAUAUUCAAGAUUAUAAAGGGAAAAGUCCAAGAAGAUUAGAAAUAAAUAAAUUCACUGCCACAUUUGAUGCAAGACAGUCUGAUGUAUCUGAAUUCUCCAUCACUAAAGAAAUAUCCAGAAAUUGUGGAUUGAAAGCGAC